UGGGGAAUAUUGCACAAUGGGGGAAACCCUGAUGCAGCGACGCCGCGUGAGCGAAGAAGUAUUUCGGUAUGUAAAGCUCUAUCAGCAGGGAAGAUAAUGACGGUACCUGACUAAGAAGCCCCGGCUAACUACGUGCCAGCAGCCGCGGUAAUACGUAGGGGGCAAGCGUUAUCCGGAUUUACUGGGUGUAAAGGGAGCGUAGACGGCGAAGCAAGUCUGGUGUGAAAACCCGGGGCUCAACCCCGGGCCUGCAUUGGAAACUGUUUUGCUCGAGUGCCGGAGAGGUAAGCGGAAUUCCUAGUGUAGCGGUGAAAUGCGUAGAUAUUAGGAGGAACACCAGUGGCGAAGGCGGCUUACUGGACGGUAACUGACGUUGAGGCUCGAAAGCGUGGGGAGCAAACA
rnacentral:rRNA from 1 species